ensembl:lncRNA novel transcript
AGGCUGAGGUGGGAGGAUUCCUUGAGCCUCGGAGGUCAAGGCUGCAGUGAGCCCUGAUGGUGCCACUGCACUCCAGCUUGGCCGACAGAACGAGACCUUGACUCCAAAAUAGCAAUACUACUGUCUGUCAGGGCUAUGAAGCCACAUGAGACUUGACCCAUUAAGGACAAGAGUGAAGAAAAAUGUAUCAAAUAGAAAUAAUUUUAUCUAAACACUGGCAAGAGGAAAAAGACAUGGAGGAGAAACUUAGAAAUGAAAAGCAGUGAGGCAUCUAUAUGUUUUUCCGAGGCAAAAUUUACAUACCAUCAAGGUCAUCCAUGCAAAUGUUCUAGAGUUGAAAAGAAAGCUCUUUCUACAUCUGCAAGGCUGAUUCAUUUUUCUCCCUUCCAAGAACUCUACUAAAAAAAUUAUUUGUUGCUUAUCUGAAAUGCAAAUGUAACUGGAUGUCCUGUAUUUGUGAAAUUCCGGCAACCCUAAUCCAGGACCAAAGCAGAAUUAACCAAAUAAAUGAAAGUGCAUGUCUAGAAAUAAAUGUACUUUUCUGGAGCAUUGU